GCCCCACCAGGUGUCACAUGCCAGGGAGGGGACCAUGGGAGUUUGGCUCUAGGGCAUGUUCAGCAUGUCUAGCCCAGUGCUGCCGUGCCAGCCACCUUCUAAUUAAUUUC